CAAAAAAAAUGAUUGAAAAAAUAAAAUUAAAAUUAUAAAAUAUGUUCAAAAAUGGAAAAAAACCCGACGAUUUGAAAAUCGAAAACAAAGAAAAAACGCAAAAGUUCCAAACCGGAGUUUAUCGCAAUUAUUCGAAUUUUCCACUAACCGCCCUACAAUACCCAAGCGACUAGAAAUCCAAAAAAUGAACAGCCGUAUCAACAUAAAAAUAUAUGACGCGAUCCUGGAGUGAAAUUCGGUCAACUGUAGAGAUUGAUAAAACAAAAAAUGUCCGGUUUCGAAACGUUUUAGUCCGAAGCUUACGCGUUCAAAAUUGCUUAUUUCUGCGUAUUUUCUCCGAAACCACGGUGCUCCCAUCAUUUGUUUUGGUUUUUUUUUUUUCGAGGAAAAUUCAGUUUUAUGGGAAUCUAGACGGAUAUUAAAAUAACGUUUCAGAGUAUUUGUAUGCGUACAUAUAACUG